CUUGGGCGACCCCACCGCCUGCCCGGUUCCCGGCCAUGGCAGCAACCCCAUCGCCGCCGGCUCGCCCAACGU
rnacentral:sRNA from 1 species